rnacentral:sRNA from 1 species
CAAGCAUGGCGUCGGUGGUGCUGGCGCUGAGGACCCGGACAGCCGUUACAUCCUUGCUAAGCCCCACUCUGGCUACAGCUCUUGCUGUCAGAUAUGCAUCCAAGAAGUCGGGUGGUAGCUCCAAAAACCUCGGUGGAAAGUCAUCAGGCAGACGCCAAGGCAUUAAGAAAAUGGAAGGUGAGGAUGUGCCUUGGCUUCCCUUUCCUAGCUGCACCCUGUCCUCGUGUUCCUUAGGAGAGCAGAAUGUGCCUGGCCGUGUUCUUCCUCACCAUCAUAAUUGGCUCCAGUUGAAAGGAACAGAUAAGACCUGAGGAAGGGUCAUCGAGUGGGUGGGUGUGAGCCAUAACCAUGCAAUUAGAGACAAGAGCUGCUGGGUGGCAGAUGCUG